GACGAACGCUGGCGGCGUGCUUAACACAUGCAAGUCAAGGGGGCCCAGCAAUGGGCAACCGGCGAACGGGUGCGUAACACGUGAGCAACCUACCGAAAUGUGGGGGAUAGCCGGCCUAACGGCCGAGUAAUACCGCAUGCGCUCUCGAUGAGGCAUUUCAUUGAGAGGAAACCUACGGGACAUUUCGAGGGGCUCGCGGCCUAUCAGCUAGUUGGAGAGGUAACGGCUCACCAAGGCAACGACGGGUAGCUGGUCUGAGAGGAUGGCCAGCCACAUUGGGACUGAGAUACGGCCCAGACUCCUACGGGAGGCAGCAGUGGGGAAUCUUGCGCAAUGGCCUAACGGCUGACGCAGCGACGCCGCGUGUAGGAUGAAGCUCUUCGGAGUGUAAACUACUGUUGCCCGGGACGAACAGCUCGAUUAAUCGAGCCUGACGGUACCGGGUGAGGAAGCACCGGCUAACUCCGUGCCAGCAGCCGCUGUAAG
rnacentral:rRNA from 1 species